GAUGAACGCUGGCGGCGUGCCUAAUACAUGCAAGUCGAGCGAACGGACGAGAAGCUUGCUUCUCUGAUGUUAGCGGCGGACGGGUGAGUAACACGUGGAUAACCUACCUAUAAGACUGGGAUAACUUCGUGAAACCGGAGCUAAUACCGGAUAAUAUUUUGAACCGCAUGGUUCAAAAGUGAAAGACGGUCUUGCUGUCACUUAUAGAUGGAUCCGCGCUGCAUUAGCUAGUUGGUAAGGUAACGGCUUACCAAGGCAACGAUGCAUAGCCGACCUGAGAGCGUGCUCGCGCACACGAGAACUGAGACAGCUUCCAGACUCCUCCGGGAGGCAGCAGUAGGGAAUCUUCCGCCAUGGGCGAAAGCCUGACGCAGCAACGCCGCGUGAGUGAUGAAGGUCCUCGGAUCGUAAAACUCUGUUAUUAGGGAAGAACAUAUGUGUAAGUAACUGUGCACAUCUUGACGGUACCUAAUCAGAAAGCCACGGCUAACUACGUG
rnacentral:rRNA from 1 species